AACGAACGCUGGCGGCAGGCUUAACACACGCAAGUCGAGCGCCCCGCAAGGGGAGCGGCAGACGGGUGAGUAACGCGUGGGAACGUACCCUUUGCUACGGAAUAGCUCCGGGAAACUGGAAUUAAUACCGUAUGUGCCCUACGGGGGAAAGAUUCAUCGGCAAAGGAUCGGCCCGCGUUGGAUUAGAUAUUUGGUGGGGUAAUGGCCUACCAAUGCGACGUGCCAUAGCUGAGCUGAGAGGAUGAUCAGCCACAUUGGGACUGAGAAACGGCCCAAACUCCUACGGGAGGCAACAGUGGGGAAUAUUGGACAAUAGGCUCAAGCCUGAUCCAGCCAUGCCGCGUGAGUGAUGAAGGCCUUAGGGUUGUAAAGCUCUUUCACCGGAGAAGAUAAUGACGGUAUCCGGGGAAGAAGCCCCGGCUAACUUCGUGCCAGCCGCCGCAGUAAAAC
rnacentral:rRNA from 1 species